UUCACUUUAUAAAUGUCUAACCUAACCUAAAUACCAAAUCUAAUCUAAAAUACAUUUAAAAGCAUUGAAUAUAUCUUUGAGAAAAUACUUACAUAUCAAAAAUAUUUCAUCGUUUUAAAAUAAUACCAUCAAAUUCGAUGAUUGAAUAUUAUUUUUUCAAAUAUCAACAAAUUUAUCAUCAAAUCUCACCAAAAUCUCAAAUGCUGCAUCCGAAUAAAGAACUUGAGUUAUUCCACACUGGUCAAUUAACAUUCAGAUGUAUAUCAAGCAUGACUACGUGCGCACGAAUCACGUGUUGAAGUGCAUGCACGUCGAAUGUGUCCCUGUUCAUAGCUCGUCUAAAUUGUGCCGCAUAUCCAAAUCAACUUCAUUUUGCAUGCGACCAACGAAGCAUCGUUACCAUCGCGUCUCGUGCGAUUAUCGAGAGCGACUUCGAUUGCUACGCGCAUGCGCAUUGCGAAUCGUUCCAUUUUCGUCCAGUUCCCACGUAUGAAGCGUGUAGAGUGUGAUCACGAAAGAGGUUAGAAUCUUAGAAUGUGUUUAAUAAAUAUGGAAAGAUAUAUUAUUCAAAUUUAAAGUGAUUAUUGAGUGCUAAAUUUAAAAAAAGAAAACAAUUAAAUGGGAUAGCAUAGAGUUAACUUGAGUAGAUAUUCAAUUAGGAAGUCUAUUAAAGACAAAUUUUUUCGAGUAAAUUUCGUCAACCAUUAACCUAAGAAUAUAAGCAAACUUUCGAAACAUUGAAUACGCGAUAAUCCUUUUUUGACCCAUUUUCACUUAUAAUAUUAAUUAAAAGCAUGGAGCUACUUUUUUGUUUAUGUAAUAUUCUUUCUCAUAUUAUCUAUAAUAUUCUUUUAUUUACCUUUUUCUCGAAUAACCACUUUCUACCUAAUUCCUAACCUAAUUCUGUACAUUAUUUACAUUGCCACACAACGAUGUAUUAGGCAAUUCCACGGUCGAUACUGGGUCUAGGUCCUUACCAGCUGAGGAAUACUAAUUCAUGACGUCUAAGUCUGUUGAAAAAUUAUGCGUAACUCUCGUUCUUGAGUUUCGCAACGCGGCCGUGAUUACGACACACGGAACGAACUUUACCCACGGCACUAAUUCACCACUCGAUCGAUCCUCUGUGGAACGCGAGGAAACGAUCGUCGAUGCGCAACUAGGAAUCUCGGCUCUAAUGGAAAAAAAAAAAAAAAAAAAAAAAAAAAGAAAAGAAAAAAAGGAAAUGGGGAAAAAACGGAUAACAACGUGGUUUUCGCGAAACCUUAGUCAAGCAUCGCCGGUUCUACUGCAGUUAGUAAUUAGUGUGUGGCGCAAGACGAAUUGAAGGAAAA